rnacentral:lncRNA from 1 species
AUUCUCACACACGAAUGCAGCAUCAUUAAAACAUUCAAAUUUAAUCAUUUAAACUCAAACUGGAAUCACAGUAACAAAGUCUUAACAACACCCGCUUGUACCAUAUUUGAGCCAUAUAUAGGCUAAAUCAUAUUGUUCCAAAACUGCAUAAACUAAACAUAAACUAGUCAGUGCGGAGGGGAAGAGAACUUUCAACUUAUUUAGAAACAGCACUCGUCUCUGCAGCAAUCUUGGACAUUCCAAACAUCUGAAAAAUUGAACCCCAAGACUCAAUGUCAGCAAACCAACACUCGCUGCUUAUUUAAUAAUCAAAAGUAAUAAGAUUCCAGAUAAAAGGGCAAUUUGCAUUGGAUUUGAUCGACGGGUUACCAUACGGAUUUGACAUCCCUAGUUCUCAGAAUCUCACAAAUACCUUCAGAACCAAAAGCAUUACGAGUACAUAAUUUAAAGAAAAGUGACCAUUAUUAUUGCACAUUUGGGUGAAUUCUUAGUGGCCCUUGAAUUAAAUUUAAACACGUUUCAUGUGCUAAUUAGACCUGAAACAAAUCCAUGUUAAUCAGUAGCUGUUGGGCUGACAUGCAGCAAGACUGCGACUUUGGACGAAAUUGACGAUACCAAUGGCUCUCUUAACAGUAUAUGACAAAUAUAAGACGCCCAAUUCAUCAAAACAACUUGGACUAAACUGAGCUACAAUCAUUUACCACUAUUCAAAUUGAUAUUAGCUUUUUAUCGAAGAAACUGGACAUUGAGUAAAGUAUCCAAGAAAAGUUGCUCAGUUUUUUCUUUUCUCAAGAAAAGAAAGGCUCAAACUACUAGACAUUCCUUCGAACAAAUAACGUACGAUAGGCAAGUCCAUCACAUGGCUACCAUCGAAAAGACAAAUAUCGGGUGUUCAAUCAUACAAGUAAAAUUUAAAAUUAAGCAGCCAAAUUUGGAUGUAAAUUUGCAAACACAUACAAAAAUUUGUAGAUGAUCUAAGAGAUUGUAUAGGUGCGUCAUUUUAUAUGGCUAUCAGUAAAUAAUGGUUAUCAGUAUACAAAAGAAAAUACGUACCUAGAUGACAACCGGUCAAUAGACUGAGAUUGGAAGCUGUACCCAGAUAGAGACCCAUAUAUAGGCCUGCUUGUUUAUCAAAAGCUUUUCGUGGUAAAAAAGCUAAGCAGAAAUUUUU